GAAAUGCGAUAAUUAAUGUGAAUUGCAGAAUUCAGUGAAUCAUCGAGUCUUUGAACGCACAUUGCGCCCCCUGGUAUUGCGGGGGGCAUGCCUGUCCGAGCGUCAUUGCUGCCCUCAAGCACGGCUUGUGUGUUGGGCUUCCGUCCCUGGCAACGGGGACGGGCCCAAAAGGCAGUGGCGGCACCAUGUCUGGUCCUCGAGCGUAUGGGGCUUUGUCACCCGCUCCCGUAGGUCCAGCUGGCAGCUAGCCUCGCAACCAAUCUUUUUAACCAGGUUGACCUCGGAUCAGGUAGGGAUACCCGCUGAACUUAAGC
rnacentral:misc_RNA from 1 species